GGGCAUUGGCAUGUCAUGCAACACACGUGCAUUCCUUCUCAUAAAAGGCAGAGAAUUGAGUUGUAUGUGGGGGAUUUAAGCGUCUCUCUUAUCAUUUGGAAGAAAAAUAAUAAACUAAAAGCGCCACGCUUUGAGGUCUGACAGCCCUGCAGUUCCAUUAAGAAUUCCUCUAAAUUUACAGAGAGAGCAAACCUCCACAGCUUAACGCCCACAGAAACAAGGCAAUCACUCACCUCAGCCCCUCGCAGCCAGACAGCAUUUACACUCUCACACACUGAGAUUCUAAGACAAAUGUUCGCACGCACAUGCAGGAGCAUUCAACAGUACACACACACACACACACACACACACACACACACACACAGAGUGCAGAUGAUGGUACUGAUGAUUUCUUGUUGCCGACAGUUUGCUUCUCCCCUAAGUCCUGUGUGUGUGUGCGCGCAUAUGCGUGGGUGGAUAAGGAUCCGUCAUGGAAAAGGUUACGGCUGAUGCCAGUGCAAACAAGAGGCGCAGGAUCCGGCCACAAACCACCAGCCAAUCUAGAAAACUUCUCACCCUUGAGAAUUACACACAUUAAGGAAAAAAUACACACAUUCGGCUUGUCGUACGCACACACACACACAAUGGGCCGACUGAUUAAUCCAAACGCAGAGGAGCACACGCGAACAGAGGGAUGGAAUUCCGUCCCCCCCCCCAGCACACACGUUCAGUCCCAUCAUGCAUGCGCGGCAGCAUGAGCUCGGGUUGACACACAUUCCUUUUGGGACGCUUAAAGGACUUUGCUAGUUAGUGCUGAUGACAUUCAGAAAUAUUAGACGUCCUUGGGUUUUCCAAUCUCUUCCUCCGAAACUCCCAAAAGGAGCGGGGCGGGUCAUUAAAAUGUCAGGGCUCGUGUGCACAGCGCUUGCAGGAGACGUGGAAGGACCAAGUCUCGGCAUCAGCGGUGCAUUUUUGUAUUCCGCGGCUCCCGGAAAUGGGAUUGUGAUUGUGAAACCGGCAAUUGCGGCGUGGCGCUGUAUUAAAAUCCCCAAAGAUGAGUGCAAACAGAGAAAGCCAAUGAGAAAGCGGGAUACUUGAGACGUGGAAGACAGACCCAGAUAGACACAAACCAGAGAUGCACACGCAGCCAAUAGAUCUCCGGAUGUCUCUGGAGAGUUUGGCUAAUGUCUCCCUGGCACGCAUGAAUAUAAAAUGGCCUGUUGUGACUCAAAUAGUGGCGUGUUAGUGGCUGGGAACAGAAUUAGAUGGGUCUGGGAAGAUAAUAAAUUGACUAUUUUCACAGUCGAUAUGCCAAAAAGCUUCCACCAACGUGAAGAGAUACGAGGAAAGUACUACAAGGGGAAAAGUGUUGGAGAGGCCUAAUGGCUUCGAUUUUUCUCCUUUCUACCUCCCUCCUGCCCACAUCUCACUCUUUCCAACACAACACAUACACAUUACCUCAGUAAACAUUGUAAAUAUGAAUGUUUUGUCUCAAUUGCUGGUUUCAAUACAGCAAAAUAUGGUCCGUUUAGAAUUGAAAUAGACAUUAUGAGCGUGAUUACCUUGUGAUUGUACGAUCGCUACCACAACGUUUUAAGUGUGUCCGGCUAAUGAAAUAGUUCUUGGAACAUUUUCGUUACAUCAAAAUAAAGUGUUUGAUGCUCCACCCUCUUGUGUCACUGAUGGUUGUCAAAAAAACAAGAUGGCGACAACCCCCCCCCAAAAGAAAUGAACUUGGCGCCUGAAAACAGACCACGGGCUGACAUAGUGGUCACAGUCUAUAGUGGCUACACGCCGGCCAGGAUGUCCUUGAGUGGACAUUAAUUUCCGUGCGUCUGUGUGUCAAUGCUUUGACAUUCAGUGCAGAGAGGCAGCAACACCACAGACAGGAGAGGAAAAGAUGGACAUAUGGCUCUUUGUGUGAUUUGCUAUGAUUGUGUGCUUCACUUACCUUCCCUCAGAUGCCGUCUUGGGUUGUAAUGCAACUCGAGAGACAGAGGGGAGAGCAACAGACGCGAGGGGAGGGCGAGAGGGAGGUGAUGCAGGUGAGAGAGAAAAUCAACCACCUCUCACAGAGAGACAAUCAAUAAGCUCUCUUCUCAGUCUAUUUCCUAUGGGCUGGCCUGGAUAAUAGCAUUGUGCCAGAGCCGCCAGCGUGUAGCCUGCGAAUAGGCUCGGGGGUGACGGGAUAGUAAAGUAUGAAGCCAGCGCUGCUGUGGGACUUACACUAAUUGUUACUUUUGUCAUAAAGAGGGCAGAGGUAUCACUGGGGGGGGCGGUAACACUGAGAGGUGUUGUGGAUUCACAGGUACAAUGUCAAGGGAGUUUGGGCACAGGCAGAUGAGGAAAGAAAAGGUGCUAUUAUUCACAGUGUGAUUUUUCCGUUCAAACCGCAGUAAACCCAAAAUGUUUCAGAUGCGAGGACGUGAAGUGGAGGAGGUUUAUCCAGUGACGGAUACAAACAAUUACUUGUUAAUACGGGAAGUAUAAAAACCUGAACUCAUUUGUAGUUAGUUCGUUAAAUUUAAGCAGCACGUCGCAAUAUUUUUAUUUAUUGCAUAGGUCAAAAUGAAGUGCUUGUUCCAAGGACAGAGAGUAGCCAAAGCUCUAACAAGCUCACAAGCAUCCAGCUUCUCCAGUGGAAAGUGUGACCACUGCACAGAACCAAGUCAGCGGCUAACUAGCUGAUAGCUAACAGCUAACAUGGAGCCGAAAAGCAGAGAGAACGUUUUACUUUUAUUCAUCGGAGGGAUAGACACAUGACUCCAAAUGAAUGUUAAUAUUGUGCGUCGCGACUCGCACUAUGAAACCCAGGUAUGAGGUAACAUUUUUGAACUUCCAAUUCCCUUCGUCUCUAAAUCAAAGGAUAUUUUUGAAGGAUUUCUAGUCCUGCGACAGCGGCCUAGCUUUCAACUUUGAAAAUCAAAAAAUGGGUUUGCACAGAGCACAUGUCCUCCAGUAAUCAAAAAAACAAAACGGCCCAUCGGCUUUGUUGACGAGGAGAGGCCAACCUCCCGGUUGUUAAUCCAUUUGUGCCCGAUGUGUAAAGGUGCAAAGCAAGUAUGCUAAAUCAACUUUUUAAUGUUGCCCUGUGUGGCCACAUUUUUUGGGGGGGAAUAAUUAAAUAUGCUUUAAGAUGUCGCUCAACUGUAUGCUGUGCAGUUUUUUGCAGUGAGGGUUGAUUUUCCACCCCCCCCAAGAGCGACAGAAGUUAAAUGUCACCAGCUUUACGGUCUGCAGCCAGUCAAAAUUGGCUGGGGUGGAUAGAUAUAAGGGAACAGAUGUUUUGAUGGCGUACAAGAGAAUCCUGUCGAAAGGGAGUCAAAUAGACGGUAUAACUGCUUUUUAUGGAUGAUAAACUAAAAGGAACCAGUUACAUUUCUUCAGAAACAUGGAAAAAUGAAUCCUCAUUAAAUUAGAUGAGCUAAUGCAGUAGCUAGCAAGGUAAAGGUGCUGUGACUAUAUGCAAACUCCUUCAGGAUAUAUGACGUUCUUCCAAAAACAAGUUUUAAACUUUGUUAAUGCAACAACCCCUUUUCAGCAAGGGAAUGAUUCAAAUCUCAUCCCAUCUUAUACGUUCCAUGCAUCAUGCGCCUUCCUGUCCCUCUGAAUCUCCACCAGGAGCUCAAAAUAAAACCCAGUGUGACACAUGGGGGAUGACGAAGGUGGAAUUUCCACUUCGGUGCAGGUGAACCCAGUGAUUCAUUAAAAAGAACGAGCAAGUCAGCAGGAGUGCUGUGGCGAGGAGGGAUACUUGGGUAGGUAGACGGAGGUAGCAGGGGAGGGAAGGAAGGGUGUGGGUGAGGGGGUGAGCGGGAGGGCAGAGACUGUAGCUCCCAUCCAUAUGGUCGGCCAGUUGGUAUGCGGGCCAGGAGUCAGGUCUCAGUGAUCAUGAGCUUCACUACGCAUGAUUGCAUGAUCAUCACACAAACACACACACACAUGCAAAUGCUUCAGUGUGUGUACGAGUGUGUGCGGUGUUCGACAGGUGCACCAGAUGUCCACUUUCCACUCCUGUGGUCAUUGUUACUAACAUACUCGGGAUCAGGUGGUCGAACAGCAGAACCAGAAAACUGCCUCCGGGUCCAGCAGUGAAUACAGAAAGGAGGCCGUCCGCAUCUGCCUGGGGAGUGAUAAAGCCCUCACAUUGAGGCAAACUGGGAAUAUUUCAUAAUAUUUGAAAAAAGCCAACCGGGAGUCCAACUCGAUUGCUUCUUAAUGUCAAGGACGUUAUGUAGCGAUGAUCCGAUUAGCUGUCAGAAUCACACUUAUCGGACAAUGCAGUGCCAGUACCAAGCGUAUACCGAGAACAUCCACCACCAUUGUCAUUUAGCUCAGUUUAUUUAAGUUAAGUUGUUUUAUGUAUCUGGUGGUGAGAUCACUCUAUAAGCUUCAGCUCAAUAUUCAUUAAACAGAACAACAACUCCAGACAUUAAAGGCUUCUGGGUCAUUUGAAUUUUGGAAAAUGUGUUUAACAAAAGGCCCAAGACUUCUCAUCGUUACGGAGCCAAACAUAAUAACAGUAAAACAAAAGAAAAGAGCGUUAUUCUCUGCCAUGAAAUGCACAUGUUCUCGCUUCCUUGAUUGUGACUUAUGGUAUUUGGACAGAGCACCCGGCUGGUGUUCAGGCAGUAUGGGGCAGCACAUCUGCUAUGCCUCUCAACUUCAGCCUGACCUCUCCGAGGGGAGCGGACACACAAACACACUCACUCACACACACGCACACAAACACUUCUCGCAGGGGUCCGGCGUCCCACGCAGGGCGGCUGAGUGAACGAGCUAACCGUCUGUGACCGCGCUGUAAUUAGGAGCCUCUGCUUUCAUUUUCAACCUCUUUGGUGGUUUCUGCAUCGACCACAGGAACUUUUAUUUUACUUUGACUGCCCCCCAGGACCGAUGAUGAAAACCAUGAUGGAGAAUGAACGAAGCACGUGCGUGUGUGUGUGUGUGUGUUACGUCCCCUGUUCUCUGUGUGUGUGUGUGUGUGUGUGUGUGUGUGUGUGUGUGUGUUCAUACAGGUACUGAUCAGCUGUUUCCACUCAUCUCCAAUCCCAUCAUGCCCUUCUGUCAGUAUAUGUACCCCUGUGUUUGUUUCACCCAAGGAGGGUGUCACUCCGGUUGUGUGUAUGGAGUGCUGGUGUAUGGUAGUUAUUUAGUUCUGGUGAUUUGGUGUACUGUGUAUUCAAUUAAUUGUGUUUUUUUUCUUUGUUCUUUUUCUUACAGGGGGAUGAGGAGUAGUUUAGCCCUGCUCCGGAGUUUACAUACCUGCACGUAGGGUUACUCUCCUGUCUAACAACACUAGCUACACCUGGCUGGGCCACCUACUGUAAGUUUGGUUAGGGCGCCUUGUUAGUGUGCCAGUUAGUGGUUUUCUUUGGGAGAUAGGACAGGUAAGGGGGUGGGAGGCAUUUUGUUCUUUUCUUUGCUUUGGUACCGCCAGCCCUCCUCAUUUCCCCUGUUAACAGCGCUUAAAUAAAAGCCUGCUGACCCCAACUUCAGGUGAUGUUGUUUUCUUGCACCUACGACGCCAUACCCGUUUACUGGUCACAGGACGUCCUCGGCAGUGGCGUGAAUCCCACUCCCCUCCUGGGGAGUCAGAACGUAACAGUGUGUGUAAAUGAACCCAAUGAAAAGUUAAGAAAGAGUAGUGAAGACAGAGAGAAACAGCCGUCCCUCCGCUACAGUCUUCUCAGCAGCGUUUUCCGUGGAGAAAAGUGCCAGCAGGCUGCCUGUAAAACAGAACCAUUACACCGUUAACACCCAAUCCAUCUUCAUCCGACCACGCCCUAAUAAACUAUACCAGUAAAGAAGCCAUGGAGCUUCUCGAAGCGGACUGUGGAAAUGGGGUGGAGCGAGGGCUAGGACCACUAAACGCCCCCCCAAACCCCGGAGCCAGAGCCUGGGCAGGCCCAUCAGUGAAGGCUGCCUCUCCCUCCCUCUCCCCUCCUCUGUGGAUCUGCGGUUGGGCGCAGCAAUGAGAGGUGACUUGUGGCCGAUUGUGAUUUAUGUGGCGCCGGGUUCGGGUGUGCGGGAUGUAGCCCGGUGGAGGGGAGAAGAUGGAUCCCAGGCGUGACCGGAGGAGACAAUCUGAUUAUAGCCUUCUACCUCCUUUCAUCUUCAUCUUCAACACUUGCCGGUUCACUCGCUCCUUCGCCUACGUCAUGUCGCUAUGGUAACCCGAAUGCCGGUGAUAAGCCGGGCGCCUGGAAUGGCGACGUGAUGGUCGAGGCAGGCAGAGGAGGGUGCUGAUGAUGAUGUAUCUUUGUAGAAUCCUGACCUCAGAAGGAAACCACCACUUGGAGGGUGAAAAGAAAGCCCCAUGGAGGACAUAGAGAGUGGAAAGCUGUCAUUGCCGUUCGUCUCAUUGAGCUUCAGCUCUGUGUAUCUGGUUUAAAUGAUAGCGAAAUUAGCUCAAUUGUGAGCAGGUUUAGAGAUAAUAAACUAGCCUGCACAGUUUGGUCAUAGGUCGGCUGUAAUCUGCCAUUAAACACAGAAAAUGAAACAAAGGAGAAGAAGAAAUAUGUGACCCAGAAACACAACAAGUUGCCUGAGCCGAUCUUCUUGAGGUCAUGUGUGAGGGGUCUUUCGGGAAUCUGUUUGAAUUGGGUCACGCUUUCCACAAAUGUAAUGGCGAUCACCCCACAUGAUUAUUACAUACUUGGAUUAGCCCACACAAAAACAAACACACAGCUUUCAUACAGGAGGGAGUGGUUUGUGUGAAAGACAUGUGUGGCAUAUUUUGGUUCGUCGGUCAUGACACCCGAUAAUUUGUCUCGAGACCAACGUGAUUCAUCAGUCAAGUUAAUGUCCACCAUGGCCCUCUCCUAACCCGGACCCUGGGAGGUGUUGUUGCCUAAAGCAAAAUUAUUUUGAAGACUGAAGGAUAAUCAGAAUGUUUCACGUUGUCCAGAGACAAAGAUGAGCUUUCACAGCUUUUUAUUCUAGCAUCUGAGAAGACGCCCGUGGCAGAAACAACUGAUCAGUCGUACGAGUUUAAUGUUUGCUUUGUCAGAAUUCGAUUGACAAUGGCGUUUCCAUAACCCAAUUAAAACAUCAACACUUUUUGGCAAUGGCAAAAACUACUGAUUAGGAGCUAACUGGGAGCUAAUUGGGAGCUGCAGCUUGCCCAAAUUUGCUUAUAUGCUCACUGAACAGCCCGAAAUUGCAUAUUUAUCCCAAUUCUCUUUCAGAUAAUUAUAGAAGUCCAUGAGCCCCUAGAUCACUGUCAAUUGCAGGGAUUAGGCACGCAAACAUGAAUCCAUGCAGGUUUGUACUCGCAUGGAGGGCUUAUACUCAACAAGCCAUGCUCUAAGACUGCCACCAAGAGGUGGAACGAGUUAAUGGAAAUCUUACUUACGCUGAUUUUUGAAUUUCAGAAGGACAAUAUUGAUUGACAAUAAUUAAAAUUAUACUGAAAUUAAAGUUGUUGGCGCAUUUGACUGUCCUCCCUUAACUCUGCACUCUGUCUGAGGGUUUUGUGAUACGAGGAGGAGGGAUGAAGGGAAGAUGAGGACGGAUUUUGUUGGAGAAAGAAGCAAAAAGCCAAGCAGACGCUACACACGCUAGGAGUGGCCUAAUACACAUAUUUGCAUUGGUGCAGACAAAUGCUGACUACCAAACACAACCAUAAUAAUAAUAAUAAUAAUAAUGGAAUUAUUUUUAUUAACGGAAAGCAGCUCUCGGCGCUCCACUAAAUCAUGAUACAGACAUAAAUAUGAGAGUUGAUCAUCUCAUCUGCAGCCCGGGGGUCGAGAGGGGAAAUGUUAGUCUUCUCUGGAUUAGAUCAUUUAUCACCGUCAUCAGCAUAACGUGUACUACAGGGAUGCAGAGAUGAAAAAAAAAUAGCUGACCACAGUGUGCAAUCUACCCUGACUAAGGCUUUGUAGGAGACACAAAAGAUCAAAACCCCUGAUUAAAAGGUGCGGAGUAUAGGAGUUUUUAUGUCAAUAAAUCAUUAUCACGGUUAUUUCAGACAUAAGAGGCACUUUUAAAAUGAGCAUUUCAAAGUGCUUCACAAUGAACGGUCAAACACUGUAGGCACAUUUUGGGAUUGAAACAGAAGAAAUCAGACCCACGGGCAAAUGAUGAAAAAAGCACAGGGGGAAAAAUAGAAAUUAAAAUAGCUGCGCUGUGUGAAGUUUAAAAUAAAUUCAGGGGCAAAGCAGAUAGAGUGCGUGUAAUUUAUUGUACCAAAAAGGUACAGAAAGCCUUGAGGAGUUGCUGGAACAUAAGCGAUAAUCUGACUGACUCGUGUCGGUCGGUCAAAAGUCAAAAGUCGGUCAAAAGUCCAACAAGCAAAGUUGUUUAUGAUGCUGAUGUUAAUUAAGGCUUGUGUCCAAAAGGACUGGUUCGUCAUUGGAGGCAGGGUGAACUGCCCGAGAAGACACUCAGCACUGUUCAUUAGCACAUCGCCUGCACAGGAGAGCACAUCCAGAUGACGUGGCCUUGUGCCGUGUAAUUAUGCGACCCGGAUGAAGCGUGGAAGCUCAGCUUGGCCUUCGCGUAACAUUUUGGCUUCAGAGCCAAACCGACGCAAACUCUGAGACAGCUGAAGAGAAAACAUGGCGCAGUCUUCUUCCAGAGUAAGAUGCUAAAUACUGCACGUCUCUUUUGUUGAAAGGCGUCAACACAGGUGGCACGUGAGCAGUAUAAACUGCAGCAGAUAAAAGUAUACUUCAGAAAGUAGAGCAGAAACAGCUGAAAGAGAAUAAUUCACACUUGACUGCAGAGACACCACAGGAAGCAAGGUUCAAGUUCCUUAGUGGUUCUAAAUGGUUACAGUUAUUAUAUAAUAUUAUCCAGUAUUCAUUGAGCCAGUUGACAAGAAAAACGUUUGGUUUUUCUCAGCAUCGUUCCUUUCUGCAAACCUCGGAGAUGACGAAUGUGGACGUAUUUGCACUUGUUCACAGCAACCGUUGUAUUGGAGCAAGUAGUUGAACAUUGAACUGGUAUUUUUAACGCAUGUAACUGUCACUUCAUUUUGUAGUUUUCUGCUUAUUGUCUCCCUGGGUAACUUCACUUCCUGCCUUGGCCUGUCAUCCCCUGUGAUUGUCUGAUUGUUUCUACCUUUGUCCAAUCACCUGCACCUACCUAGUGUAUUUAAACCACAUGUGUCUCUUGUCACUUGUUGCGUCAUUGUUGACUGUAAAGCUGCUAAACCCGAUGAAGUCUGCAAAGGGCAGUAGUUGUUUAUUUACUGUAGUUUCCUUGCCCUCGUUAAUAUUCUGCUACUUUUAUAACGUUAGUAUAUGGACACAAACCUGGAUUUUCUUCUAGCUUACAAUUCACAGCACUUCUUUUUGGUUCAGACAUGUUGACAUUCACUUAUGUGCAGUUUGAGGAUUCAUGAGAGAUUUCAACUGGUCUCCAAUAUGCAAUUUACAAAAUAAGUGCUGAGCAAAAACUAAGUCUGCAUUGAAGUGUAAAUGAGUCUUAAAUCUGGUCCGGAGGAGAUUUUUAACUUAGUUUGGACUUUCCAUAUUUCAGAAUUCAUUCAUCAACAUUUCCAAAACGGACCGCACUAAUUUAUCAAAUUUGAGCUUCAGAUUUAAUAAAUACUCUCCAACAUGUCUGAUGUUAGCAGCUCUGGCCGCUUUCAGAAGUAUAGCACUGCUAACGAUAGCUAGUGUGUAUGAUCCAGUGAAGCAUCCAUACGAUACAUCUACUUUAUGUAGAAGAAAACAAAUAAUUUGCCUUAUUUGACUUACUGUGGAUUGAUGUGAAGGCCGAGGAUCAGGACAGCCAAAGGCCAGCGGACGGGGUUCUUAUUGAUGUUGAGGAAUUAUCAGCUAGGCCUGUUAAUAGUAUCGAAUUUAAUUAGCGAAUGACUGCGAAGACCAAUUAUGUAUUCUACAGCUCAGAACGCGUUUUAAACUACCGAACAUGUUCUGUUGAAUCGGGUCUCAUCCAAGCUAUCAACAAAUAUUUACCGAGCUUGAAAGACACGCGGCACACAAACACAAACCCGCACAAACACACCGCAACACUCCUCAUUACCCUCUAGCCUCGGCAAAGGAGCCACGGAUCAGCCGUGGACUCAAUUACUUCAACCUCCCUUCCCUUCUCCUUCCGGAUGUGACAUGAAUAAAUAACCACAUUAUGAUUACCAGCAGCUCCGUGGCGCAUCACAACCCGCCAACUCAAAAAAGGACUCUGUGUAAUUAAAACGGAGAUAGCGAAAAGCCUGCGAAGUAACUCGUGAGUGUCAGGACGGAAGAGGGAAAAUGAGAGAGAAUGGAGAGAAUGGGAGGGGGGGUGAGGACUGGGAGAGGAGAAAGACAAAACUCAAGACAGACACGCAAAGAUGGAGGCCAAAAGAUGGGAGCGGGGACAACAGCUUUAAUUUGGCUCUGGAACAUCAUGCUCAUCGUCUUUCAUGAAGACCGCUUAGAUCCGCCAUCUCAAGACGGCUUAGCAAGAGCACUGCAUGUUUCUGUUAAAGCUCGACACAUUUCCAUUGAAACUCUGAUCAUCGGAUCAUACUUCUUGCCGUUUGUUAGUUAGUUUGAUGAAUAAAAGUCCCCCUUUUCAAUUCAAAAUAUGUAUUCAUUGACACUUUGCCACAGGUUGCCAUUUUGGUCAUUAUCGCCUGAUUGAAAGAGAAGUAUUGCGCGUCAAGAUUUGAGUGAUCUGCGGUAAUCUGUUUUCUCACCUUCUGUGCACAGUGGUUUUCCUGCCUGUGGCCAAAACCAAUAUUUGAAGUGAAUUAAAGGAAACAGUCAAAGGACUCAAUUAGUGGGUGUGUGAGAUUUGCCUCUUUGUUGCGGCUGUGUGAUUUGGGUGUGCAAACCCCUGCAAUUUAACAAAGAAAUGUCUGAUGUGAAUGUGACACUUAUUUUAAAAAAAAAUGUCAGUCAUCUUUUAAUAAAAGACAAAUCUAAACAAUUAAUUGAAAAAAGAAUAUUUAAACACUUCACUUUAUAAAAGCAAAUGGCAGUUUCACAAAGAUUAGCAGCACAAUUCCCAUGUGUUGUAUGUGAGCCAACAAAGAGCCAGAGUUUCUCACACAGGUGUUAUUUUAUAAUUAUCAUGUGGCUUCGGCCAAUAGCAACAAAGAUGCUGAAUUAGCUUUUGAAAGGAAACUGGUUUCUUCCCAGAAAAAAAGAUUUAUUGUGGUUUAUUCUCCCUGAGAGACAUUUAGAAAUGAAAAGUGGGAUUGUCGUGAUAAAAAAAAAGUUCAUCCUACAGCUUAAUUUGGGUAAUAGAAUGACUGAUUGUCUGUGUUUUGAAGACGUAAUCAAAGACCCACAGUGAGUCUGAGACCGAGCUGUUAACUAAUGAGCAAUCCGCAACAAAAGGGAUUCACCUGUGAGACGAGGCAAUGUGAUGCCACAACGGAAAAAAGACUCUUCUUAACAAAACCCAUUGAAAAGGAAGAAAUUAAACAUUAAAUAGUAUGAAACAUAAUACAAACAAAAUAUCAUUUGUUUCACUACAAAACCAAAAAACACAUUGUAUUGAUACAUUUGUGUAAGUUGCUUAGUUUUGCCAAUAUUUGCCAUACCGGCCGGGUGUCGGACUUCUUUCCAAAAUAACAGGAAUCCAUGGCAUGGGUAGGGGGCCCAAAGCAAUUUAAAAAUGCAUUUGAAAACCAAAUCUCUGCUGAAAUCAUGACCCAGUAAGUAGAGUAGAGUUUUUAGUUCAUAUUUUCUCUGAUUACCAGACACCCACCUACCGUCUCACAACGCAGAGGGAAGUGUGCAUCUUCUUUCAGAACGGUCAGAUCACUCUAACAUUAUCGAUGUAAUACGGAUUAGCCGCCGCUCGCCAACAAUGGUCACAUUUCGUGCUAUCACAAGCCUCUCGUCCAAGAGUCCAUGAAAGCUUCCUUCUGCAACGGACGUUGAUACUGUUGCCGGGAUUAAUUCAGAAAGGAAGCAGUUCCUACAUGAAGCUGGAAGCUCAGUGUCAUUGUCCCAUUAUAUUGGAGAGAAGACAGACAUCUCUACGGCCGAUAUCUCCAAAACUAGGCAAAUCACACUUAAACAAUCUAGAUUUAUACAUAGCACCGCAGGUAAAAGGACAUCUACUUUUCAUUUUGUGUCAGGCGGUCCCUUAGAUAACAGACCUGGAUAUUAACCAGAAUUCCUAUCCUACCUGCUCUUAAAAAAUAAGAGCAAAUACACACACUAACUGAUAAAAGUGGUGAACCUGAACUGUAAAAAGUUGGACAGCAAAGAAAUACCAAAUCAAUGAGCUGAUCGAUGCAAUAAUGCCCCUCAAAGCUGAAUGCGGCGUCUCAGGUGGUCAUUCUCUUUGUGCCUGUCAAUGUGAGUGACCUUUGGACAUCUUUAACACUAAAAUACAAAUUAGCGGAGCUUAAAAACAGUCUGCUGUGUUUUGUUUCCCUCCAUCCCAUGAGCAGGGGAAACGUUUCAUCAUCUAUAGCAUCAAGGGACAGAAAAAACCCAGGAGCGUGACACGUGUCGACAACAAUGCGUCCCACCGAAACACAGGCGCACGUCCUCCACCCUGCGCCGUCCUCCUGGAGGACAGACGAGAUGAACGUGCCAACGACCAGCAGCUCUCGUCAGGACCCGGCCUGUGACCUUAUGGUGACAAUCGGUGGCACACUUUAUUAGAAACACACACACACACACACACACACACAGAUUCUCCCCCCCGUCAGGUAACCAUGACCAUAGACGGGAUGUGAAGACAGAUGCCGUUCUCUCCAUCGGCCGUUCCUUCAGAGACAGAACACGUGGGACUGUUAUCCGAGUAUCAGGCAAAUCGGGCGUCGCCGAGGAGUGUGGUCGUGCGGUACGCUAAUUUAGGAGGCAAGAGCCAAUGCGGUGCUUAAUGAAGCGCUUUGUCACAUUAUCAAUCACAGACACACAUCCACCUUUUAUUGGCAAGUCUUUGAGGUGCUUUGGACUUCUACUGAAAAUCUUUUCUCCUCAAAGUGAACCGGUGAGGCCUUUUCUCAGCAUAAGGGGCCCUCGUCUUUGUCAAGGACAUUGAGGUUAUUAACGAUCAAGACAAUCCGCGGCGACCUCUUCCAUUCACGGCGCACCUAUCGAUUCGCCCGGCAGAUCAUGUCUGAAAUAAUAUUUGUAUGUCUAAUUAUCGUCAGGUUUGUUUCUUUCUUUUAAGCUCUCAGUUUGAAGCCCGCCCUUUGAUGGCCUAACAAAUCCGCCGCGACAGCCAGCGAGACGAGAAAAUAACAAUUAGAACAUUCCAUUUCAAGUCUCACACAGCAGAGACACAAGGCGCCGGUCGCGUUGCUUCAUUCGUCGCAACGCUGGGUCGUGACACCGCUCAGUUAUCUGCGGGAGUUUUCUUGAUGCGUUCCCUCCCUCAUCUUAAACAUCUGCCACUCAGUCACUCACACACACACACACACACACACACACACACACGUUAGCUCCUCAGAUGUCUGCCAAACAAACAUCAUUAAAAGCAGGCGGCGGCUGCCCCCAUGCGACACCCGCCAUGCGUGUCGGGUAAACACCACAACAGCUCAUUAGCAUCAAAAGUCAUCAAAUCACAGUGGGGGUGUGUGUGUGUGUUGUGGAUGUGUACAUAAGGGACUGUGUGACGUUGUGUGUAUCCUUUUUGUGGUGCAGUAGUAGGGUUACAGAAGGAGGGUGUAUACAUGUACGAAUGUGUGCACGAAUGUGUGUGUGUGUGUUCUCACUGGCUGUAUGUGGCUUGGAGCAAUGGGGAGAACAGUUCAUUGUGCAAUGAGCAGACUUCUGCUAAAAUAUUCAUGAGUGGCCUCCUCAGCGGGGCGCAGCAGGUUGAGUCAGGUCGAGCUCGUUUAAACGGCAGAGCGAGCUAAAACGACAGAGGACGCGGCGGAGACGGCCGGAGUGUCGAGGUCAGUGGUUUGAAGACCUCUGCAGCCGUGACGCAAACAUCUCUGAAGGUUUGCAGGACGAUUGAAAAUGUUCCAGGAAGCUUUGAAAAGAGAGCGGGUGUUAUGCACAAAACUGUGUGAGGGCGUCUCUGUGAGUAACACAGACACAGACGCAGUUUUGUCAAGCUUCGGUUGGCUUUUAGUAGAAUUGCGGACAAGUAAAAUUAAGAAUAUUACCAGCAUGUUGUUAGAUUUCCCAUCGGUUUCAUAUCAUUUCUUGAUACGUUAUCUUCUUCAAAGUGAUUUUACAACGUGACAUCUAUAUAAAAGGUAUGUCUUUAUUAGCCAGCAGCACGUGUCAAUAUCCGCAUGGAGUCCAUUUAAAAUAAUUGGCGUUUAGCGAACAAAGCUACUUUCUUAGGUUUUGGAAAAGAAUGGUGUUUGUAAUUAUAUAACUAUGCAAGGGCAGUUACAUUAGGGCUAAUUAAAUCACAAUCACAAUUUAGGACAAGAAUAUUUCAUAUUGAAAAAUGCCAGAAAAAUCUUAAUCUGGCCCCCAAAACAAAAUUCUGAUAAACAUUCCCUUUGUAUUUUGCAAGUGUCAUCUAAGUAUGGAAAAUAUUUGAAUAUGCAACCACAGUGGCUGAAGUGUGAGAUGAGAUUUACCAGACAAAACAGUUGACCACUGCAGCCACGCAAACAGAAAGCGCCUCAUUAAAGCAAAAUCAUUUUUUCAAAAUUUAAAAUAUCAAUGAUUGAUUGUGUGAGAUUUUGCAUGAGCUUGACUUUUACGUGAAAUGCGUAUAUAAAAUAAAACGCGGCAUAAAAACUCAGUAAGAACCAACGCUUUCAGCUUCCGUGGGGCUCCACCCUGCAGCACACAGACUUCUUCAUUAUACAGCAAACAUCUGGAGGCCUCGGGGAAGGUUGUGAAUGUUUAUGCCCAAGAGUGUGUGUGUGUGUGUGUGUGUGUGUGUGUGUGUGUGUGUGUGUGUGUGUGUGUGUGUGUGUGUGUGUGUGUGUGUGUGUGUGUGUGUGUGAGAGAGAGUCCUGAGGGAAGGUUUUGGACCUAAUUGGCACCGGCGUGUCAAAUGUUUCCGUGAACCAAGCUGGCACUCCUGUACGUCAAAACUUCCCAACAAUCGGAGAGGCGCGUGAAUGCCAAUUAGUCCGACAACGCCGGAGUGACUUUCAGCAUCCCGGCGCUGCAGGAGGGAUGUAAAAUCUGUUUAUUAGUCUGGACAUACACAAAAAAUUUGUAAAUAAAAUGAGGCUGGUGCGUGACCUUAAAUGACUGCUGGGAGGUCGUGAAGAUCUAAAUACCAAGAGGGGAAUUUUCUGCUGAAAGUAAAGACAUGUUCAUAGGCUGCCUGGUCAUGAUGUGCCUUUGUAUUUUGUACAGUACAAACUCUACUGGAACAAUACUCAGGAUCAUCCCUUCAUUACGCGCUCCACAGAGUCGAUGAUCUGAUUACACUUUGAAACACCUCGCUGGAUAAAUUUAGAUAUUAAUGAGGGGAAAAACGAUUUUCUCAAAACUGCUAUAACUCCUUAAUGAGUUAAGAUGCCGAGCUCCCAUUAAUACUGGCCAUUAUGUGGAGAAGAAUAUGCUGACAUGGAAUUAUUUGCUAAUGAAUGCGAAUUACCUUAAUUAAUGACCUCAUUAGCAUAACUACUUGUGUUCAAUAUAUCACAGAGAUAUGGUUUAUGGACAUGAAGCAGCUCAAGUGGGUCUCAUUUUUUAUGGUCCCUCCUAAAUUAUGUUGCAUAUUUUAAUAUCGUAUGAUCCACUGUCACGUAGAAGAUAUUUAUUUCAUAUUCUUAGGAUGUUUUAUCACACAUAUUCCGCACUGGUUAAUCUUCACAUACUAAUGUUAGUGUUUCUAUUAUUAGCGACUGUAUGGGAAUUAUUAGGAGGGAGAAGGUCAGAAAAGGGGCGGCUCAUGCAUUUUCUUUUCUUUUCAGUGAAAUGAGGGUUGUCUUACAGCGGGGGACGCUCUAUUAAUUUUUUCCGCAGCUUUAUUUCAAUUUUCCCCAGUAGAUUAAUUACUUCUUCAUGCAUUGCUUCUUUUAGUUAAUAACGGUUAAAUGAGUUUUACCACUUAGGUUCAUAUAUUAGGGUGAGGGUAUUUGCAGAUUUCUUCCAAGUAAAGGGGAAAGUACAAAUGACUGUUGAAAUGAGGGUCAGUUUUUUUUGUAUCUUUUGAACUCCACACGUCCCAGCAAUUUUUUGUACA
ensembl:lncRNA